GGGUGUAGCGUAGCCCGGUCAUCGCGCUUGGUUUGGGACCAAGAGGUCGCAGGUUCGAAUCCUGCCACC
rnacentral:tRNA from 1 species